rnacentral:lncRNA from 1 species
GCGGGCCACUUUGGGCUGUGCCACUGGUGGGAGCUGAUUCAGGAGCCGGCCCAGCCGGCGGCUUUGAUGGGAUUUCAUCACCGCCUGUGCCUUGGCGGGGCGCCCAGAGAGAGCCCCGGGCUAUCAGCGCGCAGAACGGCUCCUCCCAGCCCCAGAGGGGGACCUGGUGCUGAAGGGUCCCGAAGCAGCCUAGAGGCUGAUCCCACGCCCAAGCCAUCUGCCCUCCCCACACUUUCCCAAGGAGCCCAGACGGAGAAAGGACCCAGCGAAUUAACGCGGAGCGACUCGUUAAUGACUUUAUUGCAGGGACCGCGGCCCUAACCUCACCGGUGUGGAAUUCCUUUCUCCCUCUCAAGAGUCCCUUUUGCUGGGUCUCUUGAGUCCAGCCCGCAACCUGCGGAAUUCAGCUCCUAAUUACUACACACUUUUCCAUAUGCAAACUAUGGCCACCCCAACAUCACACCGUACCAGACACAUCGCCAUUAACUUCCACUGGAGGCUUCCUGCACAGGCAGCGUGCAGGGCAUCACCAGCGCCUCAGCCAGCACCACCCCACCAGACCCAGCAGAGCAGGGCCCUUCAGCCUGCUGUUGGGAAGGAACAAGUCACAAGAAGACACAUCAGCCCGCCUGCAGUCACAGAGGAGAUUCAAUCUCUUCAUAUGUUUGGCUGCUCGGAGUUUUUUUCAGUUUUGUUUUUUGUUUGUUUGUUUGUUUUUCUGGAAACUCCUAAGAGU